rnacentral:rRNA from 1 species
GAUGAACGCUGGCGGCGUGCCUAAUACAUGCAAGUCGAGCGAACAGACGAGGAGCUUGCUCCUCUGACGUUAGCGGCGGACGGGUGAGUAACACGUGGAUAACCUACCUAUAAGACUGGGAUAACUUCGGGAAACCGGAGCUAAUACCGGAUAAUAUAUUGAACCGCAUGGUUCAAUAGUGAAAGACGGUUUUGCUGUCACUUAUAGAUGGAUCCGCGCCGCAUUAGCUAGUUGGUAAGGUAACGGCUUACCAAGGCAACGAUGCGUAGCCGACCUGAGAGGGUGAUCGGCCACACUGGAACUGUGACACGGUCCAGACUCCUACGGGAGGCAGCAGUAGGGAAUCUUCCGCAAUGGGCGAAAGCUUGACGGAGCAACGCCGCGUGAGUGAUGAAGGUCUUCGGAUCGUAAAACUCUGUUAUUAGGGAAGAACAAAUGUGUAAGUAACUAUGCACGUCUGGACGGUACCUAAUCAGAAAGCCACGGCUAACUACGU